ACAAGAACAACAACAACAAAAACAUAAGAAAAAAA
rnacentral:sRNA from 1 species